GGUUUUGUAUUCAAUGAUGAUUUUAAAUUGCAAAUUUAAAGGUAGUAAAUACUCAAAAUCU
rnacentral:tRNA from 1 species